UAGGCGAGAUAUUUUUUAGUGGAUGAGCGCUUCAAAAGUCAAUUAAUUAGGGUUCCAACCAAAUACUCCCCUCCCAAAAUUUUAAUCUCUGCUUCUCACUCGCUCCGCUACGUCAAACUCUGCUCCCAUACGUUUGAUCUGAUCGAAGAACUAAGCCUCUUGCUGAGGUGGGCGAGCUAGGGUUAUAAUGGAGAAGAAGAUGAAGUUGUCUAUUUGCUGUGGACUCAAAGUAAGAGGAGAAAGUGCAAGAGAAAGAAGAGUCAGAUGAUCUGCACACGCCUGAACAGAAGAGUGAAGUUAUUGAAAACUUGAACGUGGUUAUCAAGGAGUUCGUUAAGGAAAAGGAUGAAAAAAAAGAAAGAUUGAGAAGUUGAACUUAGUUAUCGUGGGGCUCGUUAAGGAAAAUGAUGAAGAAAAAGAAAGAUUAAAUGGAAUUAUUGCGGGGUUGUUGGCUGAAAAGAAAAAGAUAAGGUUGAUAAAGAUGCUAUGCUCGAUAGGAUGUCACAAAUUGAAGCUAUGUUAACAAGUACCGUUCGAAGAUAGGCUAUAAACACUUGGUUUUGAAUGUUUCGAUGUUUAUCAUAUUAGGAUAAUUUUAUUUAUUCGAUGUUUUUGUUGACAUUUCUAUUAUUCGACUGUUUUAUAUGCUUUUCAAACAUAGAUGUUUUAUAUAAUUUUGGGUUUUCAUGA
rnacentral:lncRNA from 1 species